UGAAGACAGCAAAGUCCAGUGAAUAAGACCCUGUCAGGCAGGGGCUCAUCACCCUGAGGCUUCUAAUGUGAAGAAAAACACGGGAUGACAAGUGUGGGAAAGAGCAAACACUAAAUUACUGUCAGAAAAAUAAACGGAGUAGCAUGGUGGCGCUCGGUGAUUUACAGGGGCAAUUAGUCACCGCCCCACAGUGCUGCUGAGGACAGCAUGGCAGCAGACAUCUCAGGCCCACGAGGAGGAAGAGGCUUUGCACUAUUCUGCAGACAACUUUUCGAACAAGAGAGGGUGUGUGAGCACAUUAGGUUCCAUGUGUUCAUUCUGUGUGCCCUAUUGCUUACAUUUCCCCGCUAGCUAAAUAAAUAGACAUAGUUUUAA